rnacentral:rRNA from 1 species
UACGGGGGGAGCAAGCGUUGUUCGGAUUUACUGGCGUAAAGGGCGCGUAGGCGGUCAGCACAAGUCAGUUGUGAAAUCUCCGGGCUUAACUCGGAAAGGUCAAACUGAUACUGUGCGACUAGAGUGCAGAAGGGGCAACUGGGAAUCUCGGUGUAGCGGUGAAAUGCGUAGAUAAUCGAGAGGAACACCUGCGGCGAAGGCGGG